CAACGAGCGCAACCCUCAUCGUUAGUUGCCAUCAGUCAGGCUGGGCACUCUAACGAAACCGCCGGUGACAAGCCGGAGGAAGGCGGGGAUGACGUCAAGUCCUCAUGGCCCUUAUGGGCUGGGCUACACACGUGCUACAAUGGUGGUGACAGUGGGAAGCAAGACCGCGAGGUCAAGCAAAUCUCCAAAAGCCACCUCAGUUCGGAUUGUACUCUGCAACUCGAGUGCAUGAAGGCGGAAUCGCUAGUAAUCGCAGAUCAGCAUGCUGCGGUGAAUACGUUCCCGGGCCUUGUACACACCGCCCGUCACACCAUGGGAGUUGGCUUUACCCGAAGCCGGUGCGCUAACCGCAAGGAGGCAGCCGACCACGGUAGGGU
rnacentral:rRNA from 1 species